CGUUUGUGAUUCGAGAGAUUUCGCCGACUCACUUUCACUUCGUCUUCUCCAUGAACGGUGGCGGAAUUCCGUCGCCCUUUCUCCGCGUGACCUCACUGAUUCGAAGUCCCGAGGAAUGUGGGUAUGGGAUUAGGGCAUUCUCUUCUUGCACUACAGAAGUGCACUGCAGGGAAUGGCGAAACUUCAAUUUGAUCAUAUUGCCAUGCAAAGUCCUCUUUGUGGUAUCAAAAUUCUUUAAUAUCUGCGGGGAGAUUGACCAUACAAUUAUACAAGACUUCGAUGCGUCGGGUAUGUCAACUUCAUACUGUUCCUUUAGUUCUAAAGUAAAUGUAUGCUGGGGUUGGAUCUUUAUUUUAUUCGGCUCUGUCUCCUUUUUGGGUUUCUUUUAUGCUGCUAUCUUAUCCAAGCUCCUUCCACAAUGUGGAAAUCAGAUCAUGUCAGCCAUUCAAAAUGACAGGUACUACUGCUUAUUGGUACCCUUAACACUCUCUAUGCUCGUAGUUGCUGUUUAUUUCCAUUGGCUUAGUAUGAAACUCUUCAUGCAUGCUUGAUUUAUUAAUUUUCAUCAGGUUUGAAACUAAGAACCCAUUUUGAUUAUUUAAAGUUUUAAUAUGGAACUCAUGGGGAAAUUAUUGCCCCCGCCCCUUUUGUUUUGUCGAGCAGUCCCUCUGCUCAACUAUGACCAUUCCCUUUGAAAUAUCCUUCCAUUUUUCUUCAACCCCCUUAUUUCUCAAUAUUUCCCAUUUGUUUUUCUUUUAUUUAAGCUCUCUUCAGGUUGGGUAAUAAAUGAUGUGGUAAUCAAUGCAAGGUGGCAAAAUAGUUAACUUUAUGGCAACUCAUUAUUUAAUCUAUGAUGGAUAAAAAAAUUGGGACAGUCAAAAAGUGGGAGGAGAACUAUCUUUGCUGGACGGAGGCAGUAGAAAAUGUACAUUGUUAUUGUACUCUUGAGUCUUGACAUUAAACAAAGAAUCUACUUAUGGCCUUUAUUGACUCGUUUCAGGUUACAUGUACCCAAACUUAAAUGGUUGGUGAUAGUGGGGUAGUCUAAUUUAUUUCAGGCCAUCAUUAAGCUGACAAUAUUGGGAAACAUAUUGUUGGGACUGGAAUGCCAGGGCUUGAGGGGAAUUGACAUAGUGAUUCAUUUGAAUUAUAAUCUAUCCUUUUCAUCAUGGCCAUGUUGUUGUGCGUCCAGUGCCUUUGAAUCAUAUUGGGGAAGUGUGAGACGGGAAAUAAAAAUCUGAGUUGAUACUUGAUUUCUGAUUUUGCUGGGCAUUACCACAAUCCAUCCUUUGUAAUGAUGCUUUCUUGAAUUCCUAGUUGGAUCAAUGCCAUCUGAUUUUGCUAGAUGACAGGUGAAAAGGGUUGGCUGAAUUGCAGCAAUAUAUCUCAAAAGAAUGGUUACCCUUGAGAUGUAGAUGUAUUUAGGUGUUCCCAAGACACUAUGGAAUUUGUUUUAUGGAAAUUGAUCCAACUGUAUUCAAUGGACAUGGAAAUUGAGUAGGUUGGCUCUAGCAAACUAGACUGAAAAAGGGGGGGGGGGGGGGAGCUUGCGAUGUUCAACCAAAAUUAUCAUGAGAGUAAGUGACGUUACUAUUUCUCAUUUUUAUCCGAUCGAGAGGUAAACGUUACAUAAUCUACCAAGCAUGUGGUUGAAACUAAGAUAUUAUCCUCAUGAGAAAACAUUUUAAAAUAAGAAGUGAAUUAAUACCUUGAUGGAAUAUUGGAAAGAGAAAAAAUUAGUAGGAGAGGGUGACGAUGAGGAGAAGAAAACAAUUAUUAAACCAUUCCAGACCUAACAAAUUAAAAAAAUUAGAAAGAAAAAACCCUAGAAAUAGGCUGAACACCAUAAAUUUAGAAGAGAAGAUAUAAACACAUGCCUUGAAUCAGAACUUGAAUCAUCAUGAGAUGAAUUCCAAGUCCGCUGAACUUGUUAUCAGGCAUCUAUAUCUACUCUGGUUAAAACAAUGUCAACUGUAUUGAUGCUACAUUGCCAUAAAAUGGUAGACGUACGGCUACAAUUUAUUAAUUCAAUCCGAGUCCCAUAGGAAAAACACAAAAUUAGAUACUUUCGGAUCUUCCGAAAAAGUAGAUACUUUUAGAUACAAAUUGACUCUCCCAAAAAGCAGAUGCCUUAUUUAGUUAUUGUUUAAGUGCAAGCUGCAGCACAUUUAUUGGAGUACAUAGCGUUAUAUAAUAGAAGCAACAAGUUGCAAGUGAAAUCUGCAGAGAAGCAGUGCCUUAUUGUUUCAGUGCAAGCUGCUGUACAUUUAUUGGAGUACAUGGCGUUGAGCUGUUGAAGCAACCAAUUGCAAACAGCAGGUUUGCCUGUGGUGUUGGGUGAACUGCGUCCCAAUAGAUAUGCUUAGUCCUAUCCGAGCAAGGUGGUACAUUUGGUAGGCAUUGGAGAAUUGCCAUACAGCAUGGGUUUCCAUUUGUGAACCCUGCACCGGUAGAUUUCCAUUGGUUACAGAUAGCAAGAUGGAGAUCAAUUGAUUGAGUUUGAUAUGAGAAGGAUUUUUUCUAAGUGAAUUAAUCAUGAUAUCUUACCGUAUUUAGGAGUAUUUCGGUGUAAGUAAAUGCUUGAUGCAUAAAUGUCUCCCUACAAAGGUUGAGCCCUGAAGACUGGUGCUCAGAUCUUGUACCAUACUGGGAAAGCCCUUAAUGUAAAGGGAUACCAACUGGUUUACAUGAUUAUAACAUCCACUUGUAAUAUUUUCUCUAUCUACUAUGCCCGGUGCACACCCAAUUGGAGCGAGGUUGAGUACCAAAAAUUUCCUUGCACCCAGAUUAUAAAGGUCCUGCAAUUGUAUAACCAGAUUUGAGACUAAAUCUCAACAGAAAAGGCUUAAUCAGUAGAAGGGUCAACGUGUUUCUUUUAUGUGCAAAUGUUGUUUGAGUUCUUUGAAGAGAAUGCUGGCAAAUUGUUCGGGGCUGAAUGGAUGACUACUGCUGUAUUGUGCCGGUUGAAGAUAGUUGUUGAUAUAGUCAUUGCUGCCUAUGUGUACAAUGAAAAUGGACUUGGCUAAGUACUGCAAGAGCUCUUCUUUGGUUUUGAAUUUCCUUGGUCAGUAAAGAUUAACAGUUUUUUUGGAACAACUCAAUUUGUACUUGUAGGGCUAAAUUCGCCCCCUGCAUAACAACCCAUGGCAUAAGAAAUUCCAAGAAGCUCCUUAUAAAAAAAAUGUCCAAGUCUUACUAAACAUUCAUAUAUUCUAAACUGAGAUCUCUGCACAUUGUGAGUUCUAUGCCUAAACCUUAAUUUAAUACUAAUACUAUGUUUCUUACUACAGUGUAAUAACUUACCAAUGCAGUUCCUGUUUCUCGGAGGAUGCCAGCUGAUCCCGAUGCAUAAUUCAUUCCGGUUAUUGUAUUGCUCUUUUGAGCCACUGAAAGACCCAAAUAUGGAGGAACAAUAGGUAACCCAAGAAAUUGAGCUGCAAUCAACGAUUUCAAGGAACUAAUCAAUAAGAUCAGAAGGCGAUUGCCAAGGUUAGCAUUUCUCUGUUGAGUUGGCUCAAGAAGGUGACAUCAGAGGUAACAGGUAAGCAUGGUUUUGAUCACCAACAUGUCCUCACAUGGAAGAUCUAUUUAACAUAUAUAGAAGCUGAGGUCCUUGGGUAUGACCUAUUUAUUUAUUUUUUUAAUGGGUGUGAGAUGGUUUCCAAUGUUCUGAGUCGAUAAGUCAUGGCUUUGACGUCAAAGAGUUGAAAGAUCAACGUCUAAAGGAAUGGAACUUCUACCAAAAAACAGGGGAUGGAAUUUUGGUUGGGUGGGAAAUCUCAUGCAUAUGUGGACAAGGAAAUCAGUUAUUCAUGUUGAUGCAUAGGGUAAGGUGGUGUAAAAUUUUCAUCAUUUAUUGGAACCCAAAUUUGUAUUUGGUAAAAAAAGGUGGUGAAAUUUUCAUCAUCUCAUUGGAACCCAAAUUUAUAUUUGGGAAAAAAAACGGAGGUGGUGUAAAAUUUUAGGUUAGAUCGUGCUCGGCCUUGUUGAUAAUUAUGUGCUUAAAUAUGUGUUGAGUAGGUUUGACAUGAGGCAAAUGGAUUUGUGUAUGUUUUUUUCCUUU